CUAAGGAGACUGCCGGUGACAAACCGGAGGAAGGUGGGGGAUGACGUCAAGUCAUCAUGACCCUUACGGCCUGGGCUACACACGUGCUACAAUGGUCGGUACAAAGGGUUGCCAAGCCGCGAGGUGGAGCUAAUCCCAUAAAACCGAUCGUAGUCCGGAUCGCAGUCUGCAACUCGACUGCGUGAAGUCGGAAUCGCUAGUAAUCGUGAAUCAGAAUGUCACGGUGAAUACGUUCCCGGGCCUU
rnacentral:rRNA from 1 species